GCGAGAGUGGCGGAAUUGGUAGACGCACCAGACUUAGGAUCUGGCGCCGCAAGGUGUGGGAGUUCGAGUCUCCCCUCUCGCACCA
rnacentral:tRNA from 1 species